rnacentral:rRNA from 1 species
UACAGAGGGUGCGAGCGUUGUCCGGAAUCACUGGGCGUAAAGGGCGCGUAGGCGGCGCGGGCAGUCAACGGUGAAAGCUUGGGGCUCAACCCCGAGUCGGCCGUCGAUACUCCCGGGCUGGAGCACUGUAGAGGCAGGUGGAAUUCCGGGUGUAGCGGUGGAAUGCGUAGAGAUCCGGAAGAACACCGGUGGCGAAGGCGGCCUGCUGGGCAGUAGCUGACGCUGAGACGCGAAAGCGUGGGGAGCAAACAGG